UACGGAGGGAGCUAGCGUUGUUCGGAAUCAUUGGGCGUAAAGCGCGUGUAGGCGGUCCGGUAAGUCCGCUGUGAAAGUCGGGGGCUUAACCCUCGGAUGCCGGUGGAUACUGUCGGGCUUGAGUACGGAAGAGGCGAGUGGAAUCCUGGUGUAGCGGUGAAAUGCGCAGAUAUCAGGAGGAACACCGGUGGCGAAGGCGG
rnacentral:rRNA from 1 species